rnacentral:tRNA from 1 species
UAAAACUUAUGAACUGCUAGUCCAUAUCUUCUGAAUGCAACUCAAACACUUUCAUUAAGCUAAAGCCUU